rnacentral:rRNA from 1 species
CCUACGGGCGGCAGCAGUGGGGAAUAUUGCGCAAUGGGCGAAAGCCUGACGCAGCGACGCCGCGUGAGGGAUGAAGGUCUUCGGAUCGUAAACCUCUGUCAGCAGGGAAGAACGGUCACUGUGCUAAUCAGCAGUGAAUUGACGGUACCUGCAAAGGAAGCACCGGCUAACUCCGUGCCAGCAGCCGCGGUAAUACGGAGGGUGCGUGCGUUAAUCGGAAUUACUGGGCGUAAAGCGCUCGUAGGCGGUAUGUCAAGUCAAGGGUGAAAUCCCCGCGCUCAACGUGGGAACUGCCUUUGAAACUGGCAAACUUGAGUGUGUGAGAGGAUAGGGGAAUGCCAGGUGCAGGAGUGAAAUCCGUAGAUAUCUGGCGGAACAUCAGUGGCGAAGGCGACUAUCUGGCACAUAACUGACGCUGAGGAGCGAAAGCGUGGGUAGCAAACAGGAUUAGAUACCCUUGUAGUC